rnacentral:rRNA from 1 species
ACGUACACUCCUGCGGGAGGCAGCAGUGGGGAAUAUUGGACAAUGGGCGCAAGCCUGAUCCAGCCAUGCCGCGUGAGUGAUGAAGGCCCUAGGGUUGUAAAGCUCUUUCACCGGUGAAGAUAAUGACGGUAACCGGAGAAGAAGCCGCGGCUAACUUCGUGCCAGCAGCCGCGGUAAUACGAAGGGGGCUAGCGUUGUUCGGAUUUACUGGGCGUAAAGCGCACGUAGGCGGACUAUUAAGUCAGGGGUGAAAUCCCGGGGCUCAACCCCGGAACUGCCUUUGAUACUGGUAGUCUUGAGUUCGAGAGAGGUGAGUGGAAUGCCGAGUGUAGAGGUCAAAUUCGUAGGUAUUCGGAGGAACACCAGUGGCGAAGGCGGCUCACUGGCUCGAUACUGACGCUGAGGUGCGAAAGCGUGGGGAGCAAACAGGAUGAGAAACCCCUGUAGUCCCAUGAU